rnacentral:rRNA from 1 species
GAUGAACGCUGGCGGCGUGCUUAACACAUGCAAGUCGAACGGAAAGGCCACAGCUUGCUGUGGUACUCGAGUGGCGAACGGGUGAGUAACACGUGGGUGAUCUGCCCUGUACUUCGGGAUAAGCUUGGGAAACUGGGUCUAAUACCGGAUAGGAAUCACAUGUGGGUGUGUGGUUGGAAAGCUUUUGCGGUAUGGGAUGAGCUCGCGGCCUAUCAGCUUGUUGGUGGGGUAAUGGCCUACCAAGGCGUCGACGGGUAGCCGGCCUGAGAGGGUGUACGGCCACAUUGUGACUGAGAUACGGCCCAGACUCCUACGGGAGGCAGCAGUGGGGAAUAUUGCACAAUGGGCGCAAGCCUGAUGCAGCGACGCCGCGUGGGGGAUGACGGCCUUCGGGUUGUAAACUCCUUUCGUCAGGGACGAAUCGAAAGUGACGGUACCUGUCUAAGAAGCUCCGGCUAACUACGUG